CCUCAGGAGGAAUUGCUCUAAAUAGAGUCAUGUGCUGCUUCAUGUUUCGGUCAGUGUCGGACCACAUACACAACGGUGAUCCCACAAGGUUAUAUUGGAUGAGAACAAAAAGUGGGCAAUACUGAAAGAAAAGGCUGGACCUGGUGAGGGGGAAGAAAAGCAGAAGUAGUGGUCCCCCAAGAAAAGACAUCUCCCAUCCACCCUCCCAAUCGCAGCAGACAUGGAUAGAGGUGGCUGGAAAGCUUAAAACACAGCACUGGAGGACUUCCGGUCAA